AAAGCUUUAAGUUAAUAAAACUAUUAACCUUCAAAGUUAAAAAUAUAUAAUUAUAUAAGCUUUA
rnacentral:tRNA from 2 species